UACGAAGGGUGCAAGCGUUACUCGGAAUUACUGGGCGUAAAGCGUGCGUAGGUGGUUUGUUAAGUCUGCUGUGAAAGCCCCGGGCUUAACCUGGGAACGGCCGUUGAAACUGGCGAACUGGAGUGUGGCAGAGGGGGGUGGAAUUCCGCGUGUAGCAGUGAAAUGCGUAGAGAUGCGGAGGAACACCGAUGGCGAAGGCAGCCCCCUGGGCUAACACUGACGCUCAGGCACGAAAGCGUGGGGAGCAAACAGG
rnacentral:rRNA from 1 species